GGGGUUGGACUGUGGCACAGUGGUAGAGCAUCUGCUUAGGAUGUUGAAGGUCCCAGGUUCGAUUCUUAGCAUCUUCA
rnacentral:tRNA from 1 species